ensembl:lncRNA
AAAAGCUCCAGGAGGGCAAGGUGACCCUUGACUUACUCCUCAGACAGCUAUUAAACAGGCAAGAAGCCGAAGGAGUACCUUUACUUCAUCACUUUCCUGCUCUUGGAGGACUUUUACAGAACAUCAGGAUUCACAUAUAAAGUUCUCCAUAGUGAAAAUAUGGACCACAAAUUGUUUUUUGGCAUAACCUUGAUGGUGGGAUCUUGGAUGCUGGAUGGAACGGCAAGCCAAGUUUCCGCACAGUCUUUCACAACAAACAUCACCAACACAGCCUGUGGAAACACCAAGCAGUGUCUGAGCAGCCCGAUGUCCUGCAACCCAAUGGGCAACACAUCAUGUCUGUUUGCCUCCGUCUCGCUGCAAGGAAACAACAUGACUGUGGAGCUUCAAGGGUAUUCUCCUGGGUACAUCGCACUGGGACUCAACGCUGCAAACGCAACACAAAACGCUACGGUGUUUGCCUGUGCCAAUAUAAACAGCAAUGUCUCCUUAUUCACCACCAUGUUCACCAACAGCUCCCUGGUCCAAAUGAGCACAACAAACAUCACCAACACAGCCUGUGGAAACACCAAGCAGUGUCUGAGCAGCCCGAUGUCCUGCAACCCAAUGGGCAACACAUCGUGUCUGUUUGCCUCCGUCUCGCUGCAAGGAAACAACAUGACUGUGGAGCUUCAAGGGUAUUCUCCUGGGUACAUCGCACUGGGACUCAACGCUGCAAACGCAACACAAAACGCUACGGUGUUUGCCUGUGCCAAUAUAAACAGCAACGUCUCCUUAUUCACCACCAUGUUCACCAACAGCUCCCUGGUCCAAAUGAGCACAGUUAAUGUGAGCUCAAUUCAGGGCUCAGCCAAGGGGACCCUCCUUCAGUGCAUCUUCAGUGUCACUAACUUCAGCUCCUUGCUCAUGAUCAGUGGUGGUGUCACUAGCGUUUAUGGCUUCCUCGCUACUGGGAAUGUCACCAACGGAACACUGCAAGCUCCAGUCAUACAGCUGCAACCUAGUCUGCUGAUCUUGUCUAACAUCUCCACCACUACUGCUUCCCCAACCACCAGCAGCAGCCCUCCAAUCUCCAUUGUCACACAGUCUCUCACUAAAAACAUCACCAACGCAGACUGUGGGAAGACCAAGCGGUGUCUCAGCUUUCCAGAAUCCUGCAACCCAGCGGGCAGCACACCUUGUCUUUUCACCUCCACCAACUUCACAGCACAGGGCAACGUGGCCUUUGAGCUCCGAGGGGAGUCCCCAUCCCCUGGGUACAUCGCAGUGGGACUGAGCAACAGAAGCUCAUUGCAAAAUGGCUUAAUGUUUGCCUGCGCCCAACAAAAUAGCACCAUCUCCAUCUACAACAUCCUGGUGAAAAAUAAUGAGCUGUUCCAGAACAACAUGGUCAGUCUGAGCUCAGGUCAGGGCUCCUUCAGCAGGAACAUCACUCAGUGCACCUUCACUGCCAACUUCAGCUCUGCAGUCUUAACUCGAGCAUCUACCUUGAGCUUUUACGUCUUGCUUGCUAAUGGCACCAUCAUCAAUGGAACACUGCAGGCACCAAAUGUUCAGCUGUCCUCAAACCUCGUGGACCUUUCAACUAGUGGCAGCACUUCACCUAUUUACUCUAUCUUGGCUCUGCUAAUACCACUCAGUGUGGUGACCUUUCAGCUGUUUUGAGGACCUGAAAACAACCAGAUGAAGACAACAGGGUGAUCAAU